GAUCUUGGUCAGAACGAACGCUGGCGGCGCGUUUAAGCAUGCAAGUCGAGCGGCAAGGGCCUUCGGGCCCCUAGAGCGGCGGACGGGUGAGUAACACGUGGACAAUCUGCCCCCCGGCCCGGGAUAGCCCAGGGAAACCUGGAUUAAUACCGGAUGAGACGGGACCCGCGAUGGCGGGAUCCGGGAAAGGCGCUGCGGCGCCGCCGGGGGAUGAGUCUGCGUCCCAUUAGCUAGACGGCGGGGUAACGGCCCACCGUGGCGACGAUGGGUAGCCGGCCUGAGAGGGUGGACGGCCACAUUGGAACUGAGACACGGUCCAGACUCCUACGGGAGGCAGCAGCUAAGAAUCUUCCGCAAUGGGCGAAAGCCUGACGGAAGCGACGCCGCGUGAACGAAGAAGGCCGUGAGGUUGUAAAGUUCUUUUCGGGAGGGGGAACAACCGUGGCAGGGAAUGGCCGCGGGAUGACGUGAAUCCCGGAAUAAGCCCCGGCUAACUACGUGCCAGCCGCCGC
rnacentral:rRNA from 1 species